GGAUGUUGGAGUAAACAUCUGCCACCCUGUUGAUCACCAGAGUCGAUUUGGCUGGUCUGGCUGGCUACGUGGGUGUCCCCUUCCUCCCUCACCACUCAGUGUGCAUUCCCCCCAAAGCUGCCCGCUCAGUCAAAGAAGACGACUUUUACUGAUAGUCGGCUUGCUAAUUCUAAGACGCG
rnacentral:snRNA from 1 species